UCCAGUGUGACUGGUGUCCAUCUAAGAAGA
rnacentral:piRNA from 1 species